UAUGAUGUUGCGACCUUUUGUCAUUGUGGAGU
rnacentral:piRNA from 1 species